UGUAAAAAAGCGGGGCGGGAUCUGCGCGUCCCUCCCUCGCUGCUGCCGGUUCUGUCCCGGCUAUGAAGGUUGGACACGGAGCGCAGGAGCUGGGACAGCCGUCUGCGACAGACAAAGGGUUGCCACAUGCAAGAAACACUGGGAAGAUCCACGGAAUGUUUGUGACUCCUGUGCUCCUGGGAAGGGCUCUCACAUCCAUCCUGUCAGGACUGAGCUCCGUGGGUCUUCUCCACACUGAUUCUGCAAAUUCUGUUGUUCAAUGAGUGGAAUAUGUGCCAAAAGAACUAAACCAGGACAGUCUCCUGAAUGUGGAAUUCCAGAGAGGCACUCAUUGGCACUUCCAAAGCAAGCAAAGCAGCAACAUCCUGAAAUUGUUGCUUUUUCUCGGAUAUUUUCACUGCUUGACUGAAACUUUCUGCAGAUAUCUGCACUGAAGUGCUUUGUUUGACUUGGAGCAAGCACUGUUGCUAGGCUGCUCUGAAAGCUUGAGAUGGCUCUGACUUCUCCAAAAUCUGUAGCAGGGGAUUUGACACCAAGAGAAGAAUCCAUUCUCCACGAGGGAAACUGCUGCCAUUUCCUCUCUGCAAACAUCCUCACAGUAGUGGAAAGAUGUAUGAGCUCCAUGCAGGCAGGCACCCAGAUGAUCAAACUCCGUGGGGGCUCCAAGGGGCUCGUCCGCUUCUACUUCUUGGAUGACCACAGGUCCUGCAUUCGCUGGAGACCCUCUCGGAAGAAUGAGAAAGCCAAAAUUUCCAUUGACUCCAUCCAGGAGGUGUGUGAGGGGAAGCAGUCAGAGAUCUUCCAGCGCUACGCUGACGGCAGCUUUGAUCCCAACUGCUGCUUCAGCAUCUACUACGGGGACCACAUGGAAUCCCUGGACCUGGUGUCCUCCAGUGCUGAGGAGGCACGGACCUGGAUCACAGGGCUGAAGUACCUGAUGGCAGGGAUCAGUGAUGAGGACAGCCUGUCCAAACGCCAAAGGACCAGAGACCAGUGGUUGAAGCAGACAUUUGAUGAGGCAGAUAAAAAUGGGGAUGGCAGUCUCAGUAUUAGUGAAGUGCUCCAGCUCAUGCACAAACUGAAUGUGAACCUACCCCGACAGAAAGUCAAGCAAAUGUUUAAGGAGGCUGACACAGAUGACAACCAGGGCACGCUGGACUUUGAGGAGUUCUGUGCCUUCUACAAGAUGAUGUCGACGCGGCGCGAUCUGUACCUGCUGAUGCUCACCUACAGCAACCACAAGGACUACCUGGACACAGAUGACCUGAAACGCUUCUUGGAGACUGAGCAGAAGAUGACAAAUGUAACUAAAGAACAUUGCCUGGAAAUCAUCAGCAAGUUUGAGCCAUGCCCUGAGAACAAGAAGGAGGGAGCCCUGGGAAUUGAUGGUUUCACCAAUUACAUGCGGAGUCCAUCGGGGGACAUAUUCAACCCAGAACAUUACCAAGUGAACCAGGACAUGAGCUACCCUCUGAGUCACUAUUUCAUUACCUCUUCACACAACACCUACCUCAUGGGAGAUCAGCUGAUGUCCCAGUCCAGGGUGGACAUGUAUGCAUGGGUGCUGCAGUCUGGCUGUCGCUGUGUGGAAGUUGACUGCUGGGACGGGCCAGAUGGGGAACCAAUUGUCCACCAUGGAUACACCUUGACUUCCAAAAUCCUCUUCAAAGAUGUGAUUGAAACUAUCAACAAAUAUGCCUUUAUCAAGAAUGAGUACCCUGUGAUCCUGUCGAUUGAGAACCACUGCAGCAUUGUGCAGCAGAAGAAGAUGGCUCAGUAUCUUACAGAAAUCCUGGGAGACAAACUGGAUCUGUCUUCUGUGCACAACGAUGACUCCACAAAGCUCCCUUCACCAGCAAGUCUUAAAGGGAAGAUCCUGGUUAAGGGCAAGAAACUUCCAGCCAACAUCAGCGAUGAUGCAGAGGAAGGAGAAGUUUCUGAUGAGGACAGUGCUGAUGAGAUUGAUGAUGACUGUAAAUUAAUGAAUGGAGAUGCAUCUGCUAACAGGAAAAGAGUGGAGAAUAUAGCAAAGAAAAAACUUGACUCACUGAUAAAAGAAUCCAAAAUCCGUGACUGUGAAGAUCCAAACAAUUUCACAGUUUCCACUCUACCGUCCUCAGGAAAGGCUGGGCUGAAGUCUGAGAGCAAGAAGAGUAAACUUGAGGAUGAUGUGGAAUCCGGGGAAGAUUUCAGUGCCAGCAAAAGGCACAGCCGCUCACUCAUGGGCAGCUUUUCCAAACGCAAGAAAAAAGGAAGCAAAUUGAAAAAGGCAUCAAGUCUGGAAGAGGGUGAAGACGACUCGGAUUCUCAAGGGAAUUUAGCCAGGAGCUCUGUACAUUGCAGCAGGGCAAACCGACAGAAGAAGACAAUGAAGCUGUCCAGGGCCCUGUCUGACCUGGUAAAAUACACAAAGUCUGUUGGCACCCAUGAUGUUGAAAGUGAAAUCUCUUCCAGCUGGCAGGUCUCAUCUUUCAGUGAAACCAAAGCCCACCAGAUCCUGCAGCAGAAGCCAGCACAGUACCUGCGCUUCAACCAGCACCAGCUGUCCCGCAUCUACCCCUCCUCCUACCGAGUGGACUCCAGCAACUACAACCCCCAGCCUUUCUGGAAUGCUGGCUGCCAACUUGUUGCACUAAACUACCAGUCAGAGGGGAGAAUGCUGCAACUGAACCGGGCCAAAUUUAGUGCCAAUGGGAACUGUGGCUAUGUCCUCAAACCAAACUGCAUGUGUCAAGGUGUCUUUAAUCCAAAUUCUGAAGACCCACUGCCUGGUCAAUUGAAGAAACAGUUGGUUCUAAGAAUUAUCAGCGGUCAACAACUUCCCAAACCACGUGAUUCCAUGCUGGGAGACAGAGGAGAGAUCAUAGAUCCAUUUGUUGAAGUAGAAGUUAUAGGCUUACCUGUUGAUUGCUUCAAAGAACAAACCAGAGUAGUUGAUGAUAAUGGGUUUAACCCCAUGUGGGAGGAGACGUUGGUGUUCACAGUGCACAUGCCGGAGAUCGCCCUGAUCCGCUUCCUCGUGUGGGACCACGACCCCAUCGGCAGGGAUUUCAUCGGCCAGAGGACAAUAGCCUUCAGCAGCAUGAUGCCAGGUUACAGACACGUGUACCUGGAAGGCAUAGAAGAGGCUUCCAUCUUUGUGCAUGUGGCUAUAAAUGACAUCUGUGGUAAGGCCAAACCAGCUCUAGGUCUAAAAGGGCUGUUUCUCAGAAAUCCAAAGCAGGCCUCUCUGGACAGUCAUGCUGCUGGGCAGCUCCAUCGCAAACAUUCCUUUAGCAGCCACAUCCUGAGACGCACGGCCAGCGCACCCACCAAGAGCCAGAAGAAGAACAAGAAGGGCUUUCCUGAGAUCGCUUUUGACACAAAGGACAGCAGCUCUGCAGGGGCUGGAGAAGGGAGGGAAGUGGAAGCUGCCUCCCAGCCUCGCUUUGUGCAAGAGCCAGAAAGUGCUUCCCCGUCCCCAGCUCCCCGAGACGGUGCCGGUGGGGAGGCACCUGGCAAGGGCUUGAAAGGUAAGGCCCAGGGCUGUCCCAGAGGGCCAGGGCAGAGCUGUGCCCACCCCGGGGCUCCUUUCAGCGAGCCCUUGCCCAGGGCACACAGGGUGAGGCUGCAGGAGCCCCAGGGCGAGAAGCAAAGCGUCUUCGCCCGCUGUGCCAUCAACAGCUCGGGCAGGAUCGGAGUGGCCACCAACUGCAUGAAAUGCAUGGUUGGCUCCAAAGAGAGCCCUGACCCAGAGGGGCCGUGGAGUGACCACCCUGGCAGGCCCGUGGCUAGAGACCCCCUGCACCCUGGGCAGGGCAGCAGUGCAGAGGAGAGGCUAGAGCUCAGGACCUGGGUUGUCAGAGGGCAGCCCAGGCCGCAGGCAGAUUUGCAGCCUUGCAGCAGCCCUGGAACUGCAGGUGACCUGACAAGGAGCACUCAGUGUUUUGUGAGCCCAGGGAAGACAAGUGGUGACUCUAAGUGCCACGGAAUAAAGGCUCACUCCCGGCAGCGGUGGCAGUGCCAAGCAGGUGGCAAGUAUGGAAGCACUGUCAACUUGGUGGCAGCCAGCAAUGGCUCUAUGUCCUCCAACUCCAGCAGUCUAGAAAGCCUUGGAAGCCCAGAAUUCCCCAAGCACUGGUCUGAACCUCCUCGAAGGCAAGUGGGCACCCUACAGAGGGAAAUGAAUGCCUUGUUCGUUCAAAAAUUGGAGGAAAUUCGAAGUAAAUCCCCUAUAUUCUUUACUGGUAAGACCAGAUUUUCUUCACCCUUCUCCACUGUAGAUCACAUCAUUGUCUCAGCUUCUGCAUAGCAUCCUUACUUAGAAGCUCCUCUAUGUUGUUUGGCUGUCAAGAGGUCUUUUUUUUUUUAAUUUUGGCAAUGACAGAAAAAAAAAAUCUGCAUAAAUAUUUUUAUUUUAUUUUUUGUAGAUGUGUCUGGUUUAGAAUAGUCCCUGCCAUGCCUAGUUCACCAUCUGCAGUAGUGACACUGUCAGUAGUCCAUAAAUGUUGGGAUUGUUUGUUCAGGGUUUUUUGUUUCCUUGGUUUUCUUAGUGAAUGUGGUAUGAUACUAAGUAAAUUUUAAGAUCCAUCCAGAGCAUUAAGUGAGACUGAAUAUGGAAAACCCACAUCAACAAACAAUAUUUCCAUUAUCAGCCUUUGUGUUCCACUGAGGGAUAACCACAUCAGGAACGAUGUCUAACGUGUUCCCUCCUCAAAGAUCUUGCAAAAUCACUGCUGUCAGUCCUGGAAUUACUGGAUGGAAUUCUCUGCUCUGGGGUGUUCAGGAGAUAAUAUUUUAUAAACACAGCAGCCCACUGUGGUCCUAAAUGUGUAUGCAAACAUUUGCACUGUGCUGUGAUGUUGCACACACGCCCAGAGGGCAGAGCUGCACAGCACAGAGCAGCAGAGGGUGAGAUCUGCUGCUCCCUGACAUCAGCCAGGCUGGGACACUCCUGGCAUUCCCCAAAAUGUGCCCACUUAGAGGAAAGUUCCUAAAGCUGCAGCAUUUUUGUGGUGGUUUCACACCAGAAACAGGAGUGUGGUCACUGGGACUGUGGGACUGCACCUGUACCAUGAACUGGGGUUUGUAAAGAUGGGAAAUCAAAGCAGAGGCAAUCAAAGGAGAUAUUUUAGUUUAAAAAAUGGCAUUUUUCUUCCUGAUUUGGCAAGCAUGGGAGAGAAGGAAAGAGAUGCUGAUAAGGAUUUUCUGCUUCACAGAAUUGUAAGGAGAAAGUAGGAAAUGCAGCUUUUGGCUGUGACUGCAAGAGCUCCUCUUCAAACCCCUCACCCUCCUCAUUAAUUGUCCAAGAAAUCUGGACACUGAUGAUUACAUUUUCAGGAACAGUGAAGUGACUUUGCUGCUUUUUCUAAGAUGUAAUCCCUUUUUUAGUAACAGAUUCUGACUGCCCACCUAUAGUUGGUUUCUUUGAAAGCCUCAUAUAGAAAAUUGAGAUAUUUUAUUUAUUUGACCAGUUUCAUCUGGUUGGGUGUCUGCAAUCUACCUUCUAUUUUUUUAUACUUUUUUUUUUUUUAAUGUAUUUUUCCAAUAUCUGCUUUGGGCUUUUAGGAAAAUACCAGGACAAUGGGAGGGGAGAAGUUUGCUGGUUCCCGUGACUUGCAGUUAAUCCAAAGCAGCAGAACUCUUUCUAUGCCUAAAUUAGUGGCACUGGGCUUUUCACAAACUCUGAGUACUGUGACAUAUGAAACCAUUUCCCAUUAUCAGUGCCAGCUCCCCCGCCAGCCCCCCAAGUCACUAAACAAAUAUUGUGAUAUGCUUGAAAUUUGAUUAAAUCCAUCUGACUUCCCAAGCAUGGAAUCAGCAAACCCUUAAAAUGGUGAAAUGGUGCCUUGGACUGGCUGCUGCUGGUCCAGUGACAGCCCCUCUGUUUGCACAAACAGCUCCCUUUCCCAUCCUCCUGCAAGGCCAUGCCCUGGGCCAGGAAACCAGGGAAACCAGCUCCAUGGCUGCACUUGGGAAUUGGCAUUCUGCCCCUGGGAUAGGGCAGGAAACUAUAGCUGACCCUUUAGGGUAUUACAUUUUACCAGUCUUAACAUUUUCCAGUGAUUUCCCUUCCAAGUGUGCCCCAGUCUGUGCUGGUGGAUGGGGAGAAGGAGAGUUCCUAAGUCUGAGCAGCUCUGGGCUCUUCCUGACACUCCUCCAGACACUGAGAGUCUGGAAUGUUGGUUUGGAUUGUGGGCACACGUGCCUGAUUCCCUUCCAACAGCCCCAGCUGAUGCAGGACAGGCCAGGGAGGAGCUGCUCCCAUCUUUGAGUUCCUGCACUGGGCUGGAAAUCCUGGAAAGGCCUGGGCAGGUUCUGGGAGUGCAGGUGAUGUUUUCCAUUAGGAAAAGGCUUUGGAGGAGUCCAACUUCCUCUGAGCAGCCUGGAAGGUGUCCUUGCAUCCUGUCAGGGUACUUGAAACUUGAUGAUUUUUAGGGUCCUUUCCAUCACAAACCACUCUGUGAUUCCAUGAUUCUGUGGUUCCAUUUUCCCGUCCAGUGGAGUGUUUCUUCAAUGCUAACAUUCUUCUAUGAUUAAAAAAUGAACUUAAUAUCUGUCCAUGUGUGGAUUCCAUUGAGUGCUCUGGUUGGUCAGAAAUUCUUAGGAUCCUACAACCAUGUGUGGAUAUUCCUGUAUGUCUCCUUUCCCUCCCUCAGCACUAAUUUAUCCUGUUAUCUGCACCUGCUUUCCCUACAUUAACUGGAUUUUUUCCUCUGUUCUGUCCUAUUAUUCUACAUGCACACUCUCUCUCUCUAGUUAAGAACUGAAAGGACAAGCAAAUCAAAGAUGUCUGCCACUUCUCAAUCCAGAGUGAUUCUGAGGAAGGAUCUGGGUCUGACCAUUCCACUGAAGCUCCAUCAGAGGGAAGCAGCACA